rnacentral:tRNA from 1 species
CGGUGUGUAGCGAAAGUGGUUAUCGCCUCGCUUUGGAAGCGAGUACACGUAGGUUCGACCCCUACCGCACCGA